rnacentral:rRNA from 1 species
GAUGAACGCUGGCGGCGUGCCUAAUACAUGCAAGUCGAGCGAAGCGGGGACGGGUGAGUAACACGUGGAUAACCUCCUAUAAGACUGGGAUAACUUCGGGAAACCGGAGCUAAACCGGAUACUUACAGAUGGAUCCUCGCUGCAUUCGCUAGUUGGUAGGGUAACGGCUUACCAAGGCAACGCUGCAUAGCCGUCCUGAGAGGGUGAUCGGCCACACUGGAACGGAGACAUGGUCCAGACUCCGACGGGAGGCAGCAGUGGGGAAUCUUCCGCAAUGGGCGAAAGCCUGACGCAGCAACGCCGCGUGGGUGAAGAAGGUCGUCGGAUCGUAAAACUCUGUUAUUGGGGAAGCGGUACCUAAUCAGAAAGCAACGGCUAACUACGUGCCAGCAGCCGCGGUAAUAC